rnacentral:rRNA from 1 species
GUGUCUCGUGUAUAUGUUGUCUCAAAGAUUAAGCCAUGCAUGUCUAGUACACGCCUCUUGACGGCGAAACCGCGAAUGGCUCAUUAAAUCAGUUAUGGUUCCUUAGAUCGUACACACCUACUUGGAUAACCGUGGUAAUUCUAGGGCUAAUACAUGCAACUGAGCCGUCCCGGCCCUUCUGGACCGGGAGGGUGCCUUUAUUAGGACAAGACCGGACGCCUAUUUAUAGGCGUUUAGGAUGGUGACCCUGGAUAACCGUGGCGGAUCGCACGGCCCCCGCGCCGGCGACGCAUCUUUCAAGUGUCUGCCUUAUCAACUGUCGACGGUAGGUUAUGCGCCUACCGUGGUUGUAACGGGUAACGGGGAAUCAGGGUUCGGUUCCGGAGAGGGAGCCUGAGAGAUGGCUACCACAUCCAAGGAAGGCAGCAGGCGCGCAAAUUACCCAAUCCCGGCCCGGGGAGGUAGUGACGAAAAAUAACGAUGCGGGACUCUUUCGAGGCUCCGUAAUCGGAAUGAGAGAAAUCCAAGCCCUUCACCGAGGAUCUAUUCGAUGGCUAGUCAGGUGCCAGCAGCAGCGGUAAAACCUGCUCGGAUAGCGUAUAUUAAAGUUGUUGCGGUUAAAAAGCCCGUAGUUGGAUCUCAGUCGAGCCCCAGGCGCGAUGCGUCGCGAGGCGCGGUUCGCCCUGGGCCGACCUUUCUGCCGGCGGCCCCGGUUGGCCUUCGUUGGCUGACCGGGUCCUCCGGCGACUUUACUUUGCAAAAAAUAGGGUGCUCAGGGCAGGCAGACUUUGCCUGGAUACGGGUGCAUGGAAUAAUGGAAUAGGACCCCCGUUCUAUUUUGUUGGUUUUCGGAAUCGGAGGUAAUGAUUGAGAGGGACAGACGGGGGCAUUCGUACUGCGGCGCUAGAGGUGAAAUUCUUGGACCGCCGCAAGACGAACGGUUGCGAAGGCAUUUGCCAAGGAUGUUUUCAUUAAUCAAGGACGAAAGUCAGAGGUUCGAAGGCGAUCAGAUACCGCCCUAGUUCUGACCAUAAACGAUGCCGACCAGCGAUCCGCCCGAGUUCAUCUAAGACUCGGCGGGCAGCUUCAGGGAAACCAAAGUUUUUGGGUUCCGGGGGGAGUAUGGUUGCAAAGCUGAAACUUAAAGGAAUUGACGGAAGGGCACACAAUGAGUGGGGCCUGCGGCUUAAUUUGACUCAACACGGAGAACUCUACCAGGUCCGGACACCGGAAGGAUUGACAGAUUGAUAGCUCUUUCUUGAUUCGGUGGUAGGUGGUGCAUGGCCGUCCCAGUUCGUGGAGCGAUCUGGCUGGUAUCA